UUUAUUUCUGCAGGCACUGUGAAAUGAUCGAAUGCCGCUAAUCAUUUUGGAGGUUUGUUGUAGGGUGCUCUACCAGGCAUUUUGAUCAGAUCUGCUUGCUCUUUCUCUGCCUGCCAUUUUAGCCAUCAGUUGAGAAUUAUAUUCAGGACUUCUAAUUGUUUCUCACUGCCAUGACCAAUGCGGGAUGAUGCUGGCUUCUUCAUAUAUGUGCAAGAUAUGUCAUGUUUAGCAUCACUGGAUUUCUGCAAAAAAGGGUGCUCUACCAGGCAUUUUGAUCAGAUCUGCUUGCUCUUUCUCUGCCUGCCAUUUUAGCCAUCAGUUGAGAAUUAUAUUCAGGAUACUGAACUCUCACUCAUGACGUAUGUGGGAUGGCCAUUGUGAAAGCACUACCAACUUGCAAUGUGAUGUGUGUAUUAGAUGUGAUGGGAGUAUGAGAUGCGAUGGGUGUAUGAGAUGUGAUGGCUGUAUGAUAUACCUAUAUUUCGUCGGCGUCUCCUCGAAAACGAUCAGCGCCGGAUCCUGUACGUGU